UAUAUAUAUAUAUGCAUAUAUGUAUUUGUAUGUUAUGUUAUAUAUUAGUAUACAUAAUAUGUAAUAUUGAAGCCAUAUACUUGCCUAUACUCCCUGUGCUUUCUAUUUCAGAUAAAACCAGUGCCCAGUGGGAGUAUCCAGCAAGGGCAAGUCUUGUUACUGUGGAGUGAUACAAGGAAUGUCCUAAUUUAUGAAACUGUUGGAUAGCAGUUUGGCUAGCAAGGUUACAUCAAAAUUGAGCAUGUUCAUUGCAGGUUGAUGUUCUUGGGAUGGUGGACAGACUUCAAGAUUGUGUUCGGAACUGGUGGUGUCCUGUUUCCAUGAGGAAUAGCAUGCGUGCUUCCUUGAAUGUUUGAAAGCUGUUUGUUUUACAGUAUUAGGAAUGGCCUAUUUUAUGAAACUUGGAUAGCGGUUUGGCAAGCAAGGUUACAUCAAAAUUGAGCAUGUUCAUUGCAGGUUGAUGUUCUUGGGAUGGUGGACAGACUUCAAGAUUGUGUUCAGAACUGGUGGUGUCCUGUUUCCAUGAGGAAUAGCAUGCAUGUCUCCUUGAAUGUUGGAAAGCUGUUUGUUUUACAGUAUUAGGAAUGGCCUAUUUUAUGAAACUGUUGGAUAGCGGUUUGGCAAGCAAGGUUACAUCAAAAUUGAGCAUGUUCAUUGCAGGUUGAUGUUCUUGGGAUGGUGGACAGACUUCAAGAUUGUGUUCAGAACUGGUGGUGUCCUGUUUCCAUGAGGAAUAGCAUGGAUGCUUCCUUGAAUGUUGGAAAGCCGUUUGUUUUACAGUAUUAGGAAUGGCCUGUUUUAUGAAACUGUUAGAUAGCAGUUUGGCAAGCAAGGUUACAUCAGAAUUGAGCAUGUUCAUUGCAGGUUGAUGUUCUUGCGGUGGAAAGGCUUCAAGAUUGUGUUGAAAACUGGAAUGGCCUGUUUUAUGAAACUGUUGGAUAGUUGAUUUGCUUGGCAAGAAUUUGGAGUUGUUAUACAGAUAGAAUGGCCUGUUUUAUGAAACUGUUAGAUAGCAGUUUGGCAAGCAAGGUUACAUCAGAAUUGAGCAUGUUCAUUGCAGGUUGAUGUUCUUGCGGUGGACAGGCUUCAAGAUUGUGUUGAAAACUGUGGUGUUGUGACGUCAUAGACAAGAUGGUGGCGACGUCGGUUGGAUAUAAACAAUAACACUGGGCAGAAGGACACACAUGCAUGGACUGUUUGGUUGGAAGGAGAGAGCUCUGUCUGGUAAGUUGCUGGGAAAGAUGUGGAUGGAUGUACAAGUUACCAAAUGUUCUUAUUACUUCAGGUAAGUUACUGAGAAAGAUUUUAAGUAAGAGUUUUUGAGAGACCAACUACUGGUAGUAUAAUAGCACAAGAGAAUUAAAAUUAAUAGUAGUAUUUAAACCAGAUAUUGGCAUUUUUGUCUUCCUAGUUCACAACAACCUAGCCAGUGUGGUACUUAAUGUAUUGAAAUUAAAUUGUCCUCCUAUUUUUUUGAGCAGUGUGGUACUUAAAGCAGCUUUUUGAAAUAUUAAGAUUUUUAUCGUAACAAUGCUGCACUGAUUUUCAUAGUAACUGUAUUGCCAUGCCAUUAUAGCUGGAAGAAUUAUGUAAAAAUGACCUUUUGAAUCCAAUAAAGUUGUCUUAAAACAAA